ACCCCAUGCCGAACUCAGAAGUGAAACGCCGUAGCGCCGAUGGUAGUGUGGGGUCUCCCCAUGUGAGAGUAGGGAACUGCCA
rnacentral:rRNA from 1 species